UACGGAGGGGGCGAGCGUUAUUCGGAAUUAUUGGGCGUAAAGGGCGCGUAGGCGGCCUAGCAAGUCAAAGGUGAAAUCCCUCGGCUCAACUGAGGAACUGCCUUUGAAACUGCGAGGCUUGAGGCCGGGAGGGGGUAGCGGAAUUCCCAGUGCAGCGGUGAAAUGCGUAGAUAUUGGGAGGAACACCAGUGGCGAAGGCGGCUACCUGGACCGGUUCUGACGCUGAUGCGCGAAAGCGUGGGUAGCAAACAGG
rnacentral:rRNA from 1 species